ensembl:lncRNA LINC01821 long intergenic non-protein coding RNA 1821
AGAUGCAACAUAAAAAUUUCAGAGACAGAAGAAAUCUUCCUUUGAGGGCAGUGAUACACUUAUGUGAGAUUUUGAAAAGUGAAAAAUCAAAGGUGGAAUUGACCAGUAGAUGUAAAAGUACAACAAAUAAACAAAAAUGGCAAUGUUGAAAGUGAAACUGAAAUUCAACAGAAAUAAAAGAAAUAGCAGACUGGGGGGAUAUUGACUUUGACACCAUGAUGCCAGAGGAACUUAGUGAUGGCAAACUUAUCAAUAUAAAAUGAGGAUAUUGGUUGUCAACUAGGUUGUGUGGUGGUCCUUGAUCUUGUCCAUCAAGUCCUUUUUCCCAAAGGAUAACUGAAGAAGAUCACAUACAUUCCAACUUAUUGAGUCUGAUAGGUAUUCAUCUGAUGAGCUCCUCUUCAACUGAGGAUUGAAAUGCUGUUUUUCUUCCCUGGUACAAUGUUAAAGCUUUAAACUCUUGUCAAUGAUGUGAUGUUUCAUCUGCAAUGAUCUACACUAGAAAAAUAAAAAUGUAGUUACUGACAAAAAAGCAGGAACUACUGCUCUAAGGAAAAAAGGACAGCUACAUGAGGACCACACAACUCCUGGAAGAGGUUUCCCUGGCAACACAACUUUUCCAUUCAUCUGGUUGCAGUGUUUUCAUCCAGUAGCCUGUCACCUCACUCAAAAGCAGGGCAAUGGAGAGAAAGAAACUUACCAAGUUUUUUCUUUUAACUAGAGAGUAGCCUACUUAUUGGGCCCUGCAAUUAAUUUCAGUACUCCAGGCAGAUUUAUAAAGGAAGCUGCUGGAAGGAAUUCAUUCCCUUUUUGCUGUUCUGCCUUCCACCUUCCACUGUGUGAGGACACUGCAAGAAAGCCCUCAUCAGACACCAACUGCCAGCACCUAGAUCUUGGAAUUCUCAGCCUCCAGAACUGUGAGAAACACGUUUCUGUUUUUCUAUAAAAUAAUAAUAAUAAAAAACUUCCAUGCAGGAAAAAAAAUCAAGUUCAAAGGUCCUGUGGUGAGGGCAUACCAGCUUUGUUUGAGAAGCAGUAAUCAUGCCUGUGUGACUGUAAUGAAAGAAUAAAAGAGAAAUGAGCACAGAAGAAUAUAAUGUAGUCCUUUUCAUUUUAAGCAAGAAAUUUGGCUUCAAUUCUAAAUGUGAUAAGAAAAAAACAGAAGGUUCCAAACUGAGAAGUGACAUAAUAUGAAAUGUUUUAACAGAAUCACCUUGUUACCAUAUUGCAAAUAAAAUGAAAGUGCAUCAAGGGCAGAAGUAGGAAGGCAAGUUAUGAGGUCAUUUUGAUAAUCCAGAGGAGCUGGGAUGAUGACUUACAGCAGUAUAGUAGCAAGGGUUGGGUGAGAACGUGGAAUCCUGGGUAUAUAUUAAAGUUUCAGCAAAAAGGAUUUAUAGAUGAAACAGAUAUGGGUUAUGAGAAAGAGUCAAGUUAAAGAUUAUAUCAAAAUUUUUUAUCUGAACAACUGGUAGUAUUGUGGUGAAUCCUUACCCCAUCAAUUUACGUGACCGAUAACUGAGUGGGAACAUUAAGGAAGGGAUGGUUUGAGUGAGAAUCAGGAUCUCAGUUUGGAAAUAUUAAGUUGAAUAUGCCUAUUUAAUAAUCAAAUGAAAAAUAGUAUUUUUGUAAUUUUCAGUAUUUAUUUGGCAAGAGAUUAAAUAAUCUAUAGCAUUGUUACUACUUUCUCUUUUUCAUAAAAGUUAUUUUGGUAUAAAAUCAACCUGACUGGGAACUAUCCAAAUAUAUAAGCCUUUAGCUUUGACCUAUUACUUAUAUUUUUUUGCCAUUAAUAAUAUGAACAUCCACUAAACAAGAACUUGAGACUAUAACUCUUCU